rnacentral:rRNA from 1 species
UGGGGAAUAUUGGACAAUGGGCGAAAGCCUGAUCCAGCCAUGCCGCGUGUGUGAAGAAGGUCUUCGGAUUGUAAAGCACUUUAAGUUGGGAGGAAGGGCAUUAACCUAAUACGUUAGUGUUUUGACGUUACCGACAGAAUAAGCACCGGCUAACUCUGUGCCAGCAGCCGCGGUAAUACAGAGGGUGCAAGCGUUAAUCGGAAUUACUGGGCGUAAAGCGCGCGUAGGUGGUUUGUUAAGUUGGAUGUGAAAUCCCCGGGCUCAACCUGGGAACUGCAUUCAAAACUGACUGACUAGAGUAUGGUAGAGGGUGGUGGAAUUGCCUGUGUAGCGGUGAAAUGCGUAGAUAUAGGAAGGAACACCAGUGGCGAAGGCGACCACCUGGACUAAUACUGACACUGAGGUGCGAAAGCGUGGGGAGCAAACA